GCGACCAGUAUCUGAGCCAUGCAUUGGAUACAAACGUGCAGUGGACGAUUAUGCAAAUGAAAAUGCUGUCAGGUGUCAUGAAGCACAGAGCUCUGCAAUAACAGCCCUGAGGCAGCAGCAGGGGUUCAUGAAGAAGUACUUGAGCCUCCGCCUGAAGUCCUCCACCAUCUUCGAGUCCAGGGUCCGAGUGUGAGCGCUCCAUCUGCAGUGGCCGUUCAGCCUCCUCUCCUCCGACCUCGAGCACAAGAACAACAGGGAGAUGCAAUGGAGCCUGAACUCACCUCGCAAUGAAACAACCUUCUUACCAUGAGCCUCAACUCCCUGGGUUUUGCAAGCCUUUUCCAGUUCCUUAUUUUAAAUAAACCAAACACU